AUUGCCUCAGUAACGGCGAGUGAAGCGGCAAGAGCUCAAAUUUGAAAGCUGGCCCCUCCGGGGUCCGCGUUGUAAUUUGCAGAGGAUGCUUCGGGCUCAGCCCCCGUCUAAGUGCCCUGGAACGGGCCGUCGGAGAGGGUGAGAAUCCCGUCUGGGACGGGGUGCCUGGGUCCAUGUGAAGCUCCUUCGACGAGUCGAGUUGUUUGGGAAUGCAGCUCUAAAUGGGUGGUAAAUUUCAUCUAAAGCUAAAUACUGGCCGGAGACCGAUAGCGCACAAGUAGAGUGAUCGAAAGAUGAAAAGCACUUUGAAAAGAGAGUUAAACAGCACGUGAAAUUGUUGAAAGGGAAGCGCUUGCGAUCAGACUCGCCUGCGGGGUUCAGCCGGCAUUCGUGCCGGUGUACUUCCCCGUGGGCGGGCCAGCGUCGGUUCGGGUGGCCGGUCAAAGGCCCCGGGAAUGUGUCGCCCUCCGGGGCGUCUUAUAGCCCGGGGUGCCAUGCGGCCUACCUGGACCGAGGAACGCGCUUCGGCUCGGACGCUGGCGUAAUGGUCGUAAGCGACCCGUCUUGAAACACGGACCAAGGAGUCUAACAUCUACGCGAGUGUUUGGGUGGCAAACCCAUACGCGCAGUGAAAGCGAACGGAGGUGGGAACCCUUCGGGGCGCACCAUCGACCGAUCCUGAUGUCUUCGGAUGGAUUUGAGUAAGAGCGUAGCUGUGGGGACCCGAAAGAUGGUGAACUAUGCCUGAAUAGGGCGAAGCCAGAGGAAACUCUGGUGGAGGCUCGCAGCGGUUCUGACGUGCAAAUCGAUCGUCAAAUUUGGGUAUAGGGCGAAAGACU
rnacentral:sRNA from 1 species